rnacentral:lncRNA from 1 species
UCUUCCGCCUUCAAUAAAACUGCCUUGCCACUCACAGGUAAGUGUGUGUCCUCAAGUGCACCAGCAAACACACCACUAGCACCUUGCCCUCAGUCAGAAGUCAUAAUUCCAUCAGUGAAGGCUGACACUACUCCUGCUAAGACCCAUUGCAAACAGAAUGAGAAAGACCCUUCCCCGGAUGCUGAGCUGUCCCCAGUAACUGAAGAGGCCAAGGGUUCCAGUUCCAAUCCAGCUGUUGGAACAGAAGUAGACGACGACUCUGUAUGCUUUACACCUGAACUCUUUGAUCCUGUCAGUACGGAUGAAGAAAACAGUGAACUAGUUGAAACUGAUAGAUCCAGUAAUAAUUCAGAUUGUCUUUCUGCUGAAGAGCUUUUUGAAACUGUAACUGGAUUUGGGCAGAAAUGAAAGUCGAAGGUCGCAUGGACACAUAGUUGAAUGGAGUCACACCAAUGAAAGAGCAAAGCUGAUAACUUGUAUAAGUGAAUUAGAGGUGGGGAAACUCAGGCAUAGACACGAGGGCCUAUGCAGUAAGGGAGGGCUCCCUGGUGGUAGGUAAUGCUGUCAGGCUUUUGUUAAGCCUUGUUGUGUAAAUAAUAAUUUGUAUACUGGGUAAAUGUUAUAAUUUUAACUUUUUAGAUAUGUUUUUUCAUUUUAAUUCAUUAUCAGAUUUUAAGUAUGUUGUGUUCAGAAAUACAAGUUUUAUUCUAGAAUUCUAAGAAAUC